rfam:Gossypium hirsutum cultivar TM-1 chromosome 10, whole genome shotgun sequence
AUUCCAUGAUGAGGGCACUUUUGUAAUAACUCUUUGUACCUUUACCAUGCCUUAUACAAGGACUAAUCAUCCAUUUGUUGGAAAAUAGUGAUCUCGUUCCUCAACUU